UACGGGGGGGGCAAGCGUUGUUCGGAAUUACUGGGCGUAAAGGGCGCGUAGGCGGCCUGCUAAGUCGGACGUGAAAUCCCUCGGCUCAACCGAGGAACUGCGUCCGAUACUGGUGGGCUUGAAUCCGGGAGAGGGAUGUGGAAUUCCAGGUGUAGCGGUGAAAUGCGUAGAUAUCUGGAGGAACACCGGUGGCGAAGGCGGCAUCCUGGACCAACACUGACACUGAAAAGCGAAAGCCAGGGGAGCAAACGGG
rnacentral:rRNA from 1 species